AGAGUUUGAUCCUGGCUCAGAACGAACGCUGGCGGCAGGCCUAACACAUGCAAGUCGAGCGCGCUUUCGGGUGAGCGGCGGACGGGUUAGUAACGCGUGGGAACGUGCCCUUCUCUACGGAAUAGCCUCUGGAAACGGAGAGUAAUACCGUAUACGCCCUUUGGGGGAAAGAUUUAUCGGAGAAGGAUCGGCCCGCGUUAGAUUAGGUAGUUGGUGGGGUAACGGCCUACCAAGCCUACGAUCUAUAGCUGGUUUUAGAGGAUGAUCAGCAACACUGGGACUGAGACACGGCCCAGACUCCUACAGGAGGCAGCAGUGGGGAAUCUUAGACAAUGGGGGCAACCCUGAUCUAGCCAUGCCGCGUGAGUGAUGAAGGCCUUAGGGUCGUAAAGCUCUUUCGCCUGUGAUGAUAAUGACAGUAGCAGGUAAAGAAACCCCGGCUAACUCCGUGCCAGCAGCCGCGGUAAUACGGAGGGGGUUAGCGUUGUUCGGAAUUACUGGGCGUAAAGCGCGCGUAGGCGGAUUAGAAAGUUGGGGGUGAAAUCCCGGGGCUCAACCCCGGAACUGCCUCCAAAACUGCUAGUCUAGAGUUCGAGAGAGGUGAGUGGAAUUCCGAGUGUAGAGGUGAAAUUCGUAGAUAUUCGGAGGAACACCAGUGGCGAAGGCGGCUCACUGGCUCGAUACUGACGCUGAGGUGCGAAAGUGUGGGGAGCAAACAGGAUUAGAUACCCUGGUAGUCCACACCGUAAACGAUGAAUGCCAGUCGUCGGGUAGUAUACUAUUCGGUGACACACCUAACGGAUUAAGCAUUCCGCCUGGGGAGUACGGUCGCAAGAUUAAAACUCAAAGGAAUUGACGG
rnacentral:rRNA from 1 species